GCAAGCGUUGUUCGGAUUUACUGGGCGUAAAGGGCGCGUAGGCGGCCAUUCAAGUCAGCUGUGAAAUCUCUGGGCUUAACCCAGAACGGCCAGCUGAUACUGCUUUGCUAGAGUGCAGAAGGGGCAAUCGGAAUUCUUGGUGUAGCGGUGAAAUGCGUAGAUAUCAAGAGGAACACCUGAGGUGAAGACGGGUUGCUGGGCUGACACUGACGCUGAGGCGCGAAAGCCAGGGGAGCAAACGGG
rnacentral:rRNA from 1 species